rnacentral:lncRNA from 1 species
AAAAGAUGCAUUCUAUGCAUCGGCCAUAUUGAUCGAAUGAAAGCAUACAUCGAUGCCAGCAUUGAGGUUACCGUCGUGAUUGAGAAUCGUACUGUGCUAAAUCGAACAGCACUGGUCAUUUUAACAAACGGCUUAAGUUAUUGCUUACGUUUAUACGAACGCAUGAUAUGUCGUAAGCAUACAUCAUUAGUAAAUCUUAUUUCAAUAUGGCUGCUCCCGUCGGAAAGACGUGACAUAAUCUGCUGUGUUUAUAUUAUAUUUUGAUCUGUUUUUACAUUACUUCUUUGGAUUGUUGAAAUACAAGAGAUUAAGUACUGUCCAUUGCUAUUAUUUUAUUUAUCAGUUGAAAACAAUAAAAAUUGAAAUAAUUUUAAAUUCAGUAAAUGAAAUAAAAUAUUAUUUUAUUAAACGAUAGGAUAUACAGUAAUAAUCCAUCGUGUUUUAUCAUUCUAUGAAUGUAUUUUACUUAUUUAAUAAUUUCUGAAAUGUAAUUAGGUAU